rnacentral:rRNA from 1 species
GGUAAUUUAAUCUUAUAAUCAAAAUAAAUGGAUCAAAAAAACAUACAUAAAUAUACUAAAACAAAGAGGAGUUAAAUAUUAUUCCUCCCAUCACCCCAACAAAACAGUUAUUCCCGCUCAAUACAAACAUCAAAACAAACAACGAACAAACAAGAAACCUGUCAAACUCUAUAGGGUCUUCUCGUCCCAUAAAAACAUUUAAGAAUUUUAACUCAAAAACCAAAUUCAAUAAACCAAUGCCUCUAAGACAGCCUAUGUCUCGUCAAGCCAUUCAUACCAGAUCACAAUUAAAGAACUAAUGAUUAUGCUACCUUUGCACGGUCAAAAUACCGCGGCCCUUCAACUAAAACGUCAGUGGGCAGGCCAUACUUCAAAAACUAACAAGAAAAGAUGUUUUUGUUAAACAGGCGGACAUAAAACUUUGCCGAAUUCCUCAAAAGCAAUUAACAAUUCAACCUCAAACAAACCAAUCAACAAAAUUUACUAAUUACACAUAAUUACUAUACAAACCAAAAGCAAAGAAAACAUUUCAAUAAAUAACUUAAAUAACAAAAAAUUAAAAAAACAACAAAUAAAAUUUUAACAUAAUCAAAUAGAAAAUCACCAUAAAAUCCACAAAACUAAAUUAAACAAAAACAAAUUAUAAAAAUAAAACAAGGAGCUAAUCCCCCUUAAUCUUAACAUCAAAUAAAAAUAAGUAAAUCAACAACAGAAAUUAAAUAAGACGUAUGAAUUAAA